GCAGAGUCACUCUGCACCCUGCUGUAGACUCAAGUGCUGGUGUCUUUUUCUGUCCGUGACAGAAACAUCCCCAGGGGCUGGGACCACUUUGGCCUGUCAAAGUAAGCUGAGUUGCCUGGGGACAUGAAA